UGGCACCUGGGCCGCUGGGGCAGGCCGAUCGGCUGGCUCGCGGUGGUGUGGAUCCUGCUCAGCAGCGUGCUGUUCAUGCUUCCGCAGGCAUCGCC
rnacentral:tRNA from 1 species